GUCUUCGUAGUGUAACAUUAGCACACUCGACCCGUAUUCAAGAGAUCCAGGCUCGAGUCCCGGCGAGGAUU
rnacentral:tRNA from 1 species